AGGAGCGCUAGCUACAGGCUUAACACAUGCAAGUCGCCUUGCAGCAUGGUCUUAGCUUGCUAAGACUGAUGGCGACCGGCGCACGGGUGAGUAACACGUAUCCAACCUGCCGUCUACUCUUGGACAGCCUUCUGAAAGGAAGAUUAAUACAAGAUGGCAUCAUGAGUCCGCAUGUUCACAUGAUUAAAGGUAUUCCGGUAGACGAUGGGGAUGCGUUCCAUUAGAUAGUAGGCGGGGUAACGGCCCACCUAGUCUUCGAUGGAUAGGGGUUCUGAGAGGAAGGUCCCCCACAUUGGAACUGAGACACGGUCCAAACUCCUACGGGAGGCAGCAGUGAGGAAUAUUGGUCAAUGGGCGAGAGCCUGAACCAGCCAAGUAGCGUGAAGGAUGACUGCCCUAUGGGUUGUAAACUUCUUUUAUAAAGGAAUAAAGUCGGGUAUGCAUACCCGUUUGCAUGUACUUUAUGAAUAAGGAUCGGCUAACUCCGUGCCAGCAGCCGCGGUAAUACGGAGGAUCCGAGCGUUAUCCGGAUUUAUUGGGUUUAAAGGGAGCGUACAUGGAUGUUUAAGUCAGUUGUGAAAGUUUGCGGCUCAACCGUAAAAUGGCAGUUGAUACUGGAUAUCUUGAGUGCAGUUGAGGCAGGCGGAAUUCGUGGUGUAGCGGUGAAAUGCUUAGAUAUCACGAAGAACUCCGAUUGCGAAGGCAGCCUGCUAAGCUGCAACUGACAUUGAGGCUCGAAAGUGUGGGUAUCAAACAGGAUUAGAUACCCUGGUAGUCCACACGGUAAACGAUGAAUACUCGCUGUUUGCGAUAUACUGCAAGCGGCCAAGCGAAAGCGUUAAGUAUUCCACCUGGGGAGUACGCCGGCAACGGUGAAACUCAAAGGAAUUGACGGGGGCCCGCACAAGCGGAGGAACAUGUGGUUUAAUUCGAUGAUACGCGAGGAACCUUACCCGGGCUUAAAUUGCAGAUGAAUUACGGUGAAAGCCGUAAGCCGCAAGGCAUCUGUGAAGGUGCUGCAUGGUUGUCGUCAGCUCGUGCCGUGAGGUGUCGGCUUAAGUGCCAUAACGAGCGCAACCCUUGUUGUCAGUUACUAACAGGUUCCGCUGAGGACUCUGACAAGACUGCCAUCGUAAGAUGUGAGGAAGGUGGGGAUGACGUCAAAUCAGCACGGCCCUUACGUCCGGGGCUACACACGUGUUACAAUGGGGGGUACAGAGGGCCGCUACCACGCGAGUGGAUGCCAAUCCCCAAAACCUCUCUCAGUUCGGACUGGAGUCUGCAACCCGACUCCACGAAGCUGGAUUCGCUAGUAAUCGCGCAUCAGCCACGGCGCGGUGAAUACGUUCCCGGGCCUUGUACACACCGCCCGUCAAGCCAUGGGAGCCGGGGGUACCUGAAGUGCGUAACCGCGAGGAGCGCCCUAGGGUAAAACUGG
rnacentral:rRNA from 1 species